rnacentral:lncRNA from 13 species
GAUCCCUUGAUGCCAUCCCCAAAUGUGAAGUCUGACAUUUUCUUAGCUGAUGGCCUCCUUUGUGAAGGUAUUUUGUGUCCUCCCAGCAUGCCUGCUGGAUCCCUGGUUUGCUGCGGUUGCUAAGGUAAAUACUCUUUCCAUUAAGCACCACAGCCCAAGAGUGGCCUAAAGCUCAAAUAAAUGACCAGGGAGCAAGUUAAACAUUCCCUGGGGCAAUUUUAACCUAUGCAAUGGCUUUUUGAAAAAAUGGCCUAUUUUUUCAUGUUUUGGCCAGGGGGGUGUCUCUUAUUCCCUUCGUCUUUAUUUUCCUUUCAGCUGAGUACACCUUCUCUUUCAUUUAUUCAUGUGCUAGAUGAAGGGUGGAAGCAGGAUGAAUGAAUCACAGAGCACUGCCCCUCUCCCCACUCAGGGUCUGUGAAGAGAGCCGGAGCAGAAUACAGUCCAGGCAUUAUGUCAACUUUGGGAGAACAUGGGGCAGGUGGCUGAUUCUCACAGAGACCCCACUUCCCUUUCCUGUGAAAAAUACCACAGCGUAACAGCCACUGGGGAACAGUGUUCUUCUGGAAGCUUCCUCUGGGCAGGGGAGUCAAAGAUCCUGGUCCUCAGGGACACUUUGAGACAGGUGUGCCAAAGCUGUGCAUGAUGGUUUGUUUUGUUUUGUUUUCCUUUGCCUCAGGAAGGACGUGUUCACAGACCUCAGGACAAAUCGUUUAAAAGAGUCCUGACAGUUGUUAUGCUUCAUCACUUGAUUGAGAAGCAAUAGGACAGCCUUAUAUUCUUCUUCUCUGUGGUGGUUGAGGAGUCUGGCUGGUCUGGCAGAAGGCAGAGUGAGCAGUGGCCGCUGGUGCCUGCAGCGCCCCUCAGGAAGAGCGGGGCUCACCGGAAGUCCACUCUCAUCUGCUUCCUGGUUACCCAAUGUGGGGAUUUGCUACUUUGCUGAGUGUGUUUUGUCUAAUUCAUGGCACUCCAGAACUGUGUCUGUUUUUCCUCACAUUCUUUUUAUUGUCUGCCACAGCAACAUUCUCAGCAAACCAUCCAACGGCAACUCCUGUGAUCACAAAAGUCAAGCACUGAUGGAAAUGAAGACCACAACCCCAAUUCCUCAGGUGCCGGAUUGAUGGGACUGCAAAUGUGUAAAGUCUUGCACAGGAAACCCC